CUUUUUUUUAAGUGCGUCGGUCCUAACGGGGAUCGGCGGCUCUGUGUAGGUCUUAACGUCUGGGUCAGUAACUGUGUAGCUCGGUCGGCGAGCGAAGGAGCGCUCGAGGUCUAAAGCGACAGAGCGAGCGAGCAGCGAGCGGCAGGGGAGGAUACAUCGGCUAGCAAGCCGCGGGUCCUGGCGUCGGACAGGCAGGGCAGGCGAACCACAAACCCCGAGCCGCCGCCGGCGCGGUGGAGUUGACGCCUCAGCACGGGAACGUUCGGCGGCGGCGGCGGGUUAGGCGUGUAGCCGCGAGCCGGCUCUCCGUCAUCGGUCGGUCGUUGGUAGGCACAACUAAACUCCUGGUUUCAGCGGUACGAUGGAAACGCUCGUCCUCCUCCUGUGCCAACUAGUAUAAUGCUACGUCACACACAAACGCUCCGUCCACACCAUAUCAACGAAAGAGUCUUACUUGUAGUUAUAUCUAGAGACGGGUUGUGUGGUAAGGUGGUAUCUACGAACCACCCUACGACGCUCCUUCGUACAGGGCUUUUCCGACUCCUUCCCGAAGCUGAGUCACCAGUAAAGCUAGACGACCUUAGAUACCUUUGUUACGUUGCCUUCCCAGAAACCGGCAUUACUGGAAUCCUUACAUCCACCUUGACACCUAAACUAAACCGUUACACCAGAUCUCGCCCUCGGUGGCCUCAUUGGUAAACCACACUCAUCAUCCCAUCGACAACCUACUCACCUCCCAAACCACCUCCCUAGAACACUCCCGGAAGAUGGCUGGCACAUUAGAGAACAUUUAUAAAAAGAGAGAAGAUAUUUCGAUACCAUGCAGAAACCGCAUGGGAGCUUUUUUUUCAUAUCUCACUUACCUACAGAUCUCCUAUCCAGAUUUUGACAUAAGUAGUACCAUCAUAUUCUUUUGAUAUAAUGUUUUCAGGUUACACGUAACUGUAGAAUAAUUUUGUGACCAGUUGACCUUCUAAAUGUCUUGGAAGACUUUAGUAACUGGUACACGGAUAACGGUAAUGG
rnacentral:rRNA from 1 species